rnacentral:lncRNA from 1 species
AUUGCAUUAGUUGCAUCCCUUGAUCGGCUGUUCGCCGGAUAGUGCUUGGAGACGAUCGUGCCUGAACUGUUUGUGGACUGUGGAGCCUGGGCCCUUUGGGCAGGCGCAGUCAGCUGUGUGUGACAGCGGCCCGGUACCUACGAGUAGGGCAGAGUUUGGUCAGGACGGUAGUCCGAGCGUAAACCCUGGAGCGUGGAAAGCCACGUGUUGGAUCGUAAGAUCGAGGCACACC